CACCCAAAACUCUAAUCCUCCAUCAAUUCCAAUGUCCCUUUCUCCCCACCCCUUUCUCCUUCUUCUCGCCAUAGCCUCGCUCUCCCUCUCCGCCGCGCAAUGCCCCCUCAACUUCACCCUCCUCCGCCAGUUCUCCCAGAGCUCCGCCGUUUCCCGCCCCGAUUUAUCCGACGAAUGCCAUUACAUCCGCCUCGGCCUACGCCUCGUCCUCUCCCAGUACCUCAAGCUCACCGGCUCCUUCUUGCCUCCGGCAGACUCUGCGGACUCGUGCUGGAACUCCUACCAAUCGGUUGUUGAUAGAACUUGGCCGAAUUUCAACAUCCGGAGCUCUUGCGGGUUUCAGACCGGGUGGAUCUCCCAGGGAUGUAUGAACAUCAGUACCAGAUCGGAGUUCGAGCGCUUUGUUCCGAAAUCGGCGAUCGAUGGCGUGGUUGCGAACUGUAAUCAGUCGCUCGAGAAUGGUUCGCCGUGUGCCUCGUGCACGACGAGUCUGUCGGUCGUUCAGGCCUCCGGCUUGACCGGCCAGUCGAUCGGCAAUGUCACUGAUUGCACCGCCUAUCCGUCGAUCUACGCGGCGGCGUUCGUGAAUCACUUCGGCCCGACCGACCGGGGAACUGCCAAGUGCUUGUUCUCGCUCUAUCCUCUAUCCUCGGGGGAAUCGAGAAGCAAGAAGCGGAAUACGGUGAUUUUGGUGGUUCUGAUUUGUUGUGGAAUUGGCGCGGCGGCUGCGAUUGCCGGCGGUUGGUUCUUCUGGCGGAGACACGAAACGUUAAGAAUCUGGAGGAGAAAGAACGAUAGAAUUGGCAGAACGGUGACCAGUAUGGCUUCUGGAUUGGAGUCCAUAAGCGCGAGCACCACGUUGGUGAAGUUCACGUUCGAGGACAUCAAGAAGGCGACGAGGAAUUUCUCCAGAGAUAACAUAAUCGGGAGAGGUGGGUAUGGAAAUGUUUAUAAAGGGGUUCUUUCAGACGAUUCAGAAGUUGCAUUGAAGAGGUUCAAGAACUGCUCAGCAGCUGGAGACGCCAUUUUUGCUCAUGAAGUGGAGGUAAUUUCCAGUGUUAGACAUGUGAACCUUGUAGCUCUGAGAGGUUAUUGCAUUGCCACAACUCCAAUGGAGGGUCACCAGAGGAUAAUUGUGUGUGAUUUGAUGAAGAAUGGGAGUCUGUAUGACCAUUUAUUUGGGUUUUCUGAUGAGAGGCUCAGUUGGCCAAUUAGGCAAAAGAUUGCUCUUGGCACAGCUAGAGGAUUGGCUUAUCUCCAUUACGGAGCUCAGCCUGCCAUUAUCCAUAGAGAUAUCAAAGCCAGCAACAUUCUUUUGGAUGAAAACUUUGACCCUAAGGUUGCUGACUUUGGUUUGGCCAAGUUCACUCCAGAAGGAAUGACUCAUUUGAGCACAAGAGUUGCUGGAACCUUGGGGUAUGUGGCUCCCGAGUAUGCACUCUACGGCCAAUUGACAGAGAGGAGCGAUGUGUAUAGCUUUGGAGUUGUUCUACUCGAGCUUUUGAGCGGGAGGAAGGCGCUCGGGGUGAGGAGCCAUGAUAACCAACCAUUUCUAGUGACUGAUUGGGCUUGGUCUUUGGUGAGGGAACAUAAAGCCAUGGAUGUUGUUGAAGAAGGUAUGCCAGAGGUGGGUUAUGCAGAGGUUGUGGAGAAGUAUGUGUUGAUUGCUGUUCUGUGUUCCCAUCCACAGCUCCAUGCAAGACCAACAAUGGAUCAGGUUGUGAAAAUGUUGGAAACUGACCUCUCUGUUCCUUCAAUUCCUGAGAGACCCAUCCCUCUGGUUGCUGAGAUUGAUGAAAUUGAGAGAUCUAUGAGCAGUAGUGGCUCUGCUCAGCAUUCUGGUUCAGUUGGCUUUCAUAGUUGCACUUUACAAAAUGACCAAAAGUAGGGAAUUAAGUAGUUGGUGAGGUGAUAGCUUACUAAGACGAUGAUCAGGUGGUUCAAGAGGAUGUUCGUUCAUUUAAACCGGUGUAGAUGAUGAUCAUUUGUAGGAGUGAAAGCAGGUGUGGGACCGACGUUGCUUUAUAUCUAAAGGGAAGGCAGCAGGGAUCCUAGAAGGACACGUAGAAGGUAUCAUAUUCAUUUGAUAGUCGUGGGGAUGGUCGAUAUUUAAUUUCGAAUGGUAAAGACCAGACCAUUAAACUUUGGGAUAUCAGAAAGAUGUCCAGCAAUGCUACUCACUACAACAGGCCUAGAAAUUAUGACUGGGACUACAGAUGGAUGGAUAAUCCAUUCCAUGCAAAAAAUUUGAUACGUCCACGUGAUUGUUCUGUUGCUACAUACAAGGGUCAUUCGGUCUUGCGAAUGCUCAUUCAUUGUUAUUCUCCCCUGAAUAUAGAUUGCAGCACUGGUCAGAAGUACAUCUACACUGGAUCUCACAAUUCCUGUGUUUAUAUCUAUGAUUUGCUUGCACGCACCUCGACUAUUCACGGGCCAACCGCCUGACCCUACUACAUUUGGUUGACAAGGAAACUCGUAGGAUAUUAGGUCCUAGCCUAGUGGAGCUCUAGUAGCCACGCUCAAGCAUCAUAAAUCACCAGUGAGAGAUUGUAGCUGGCACCCUCGCUAUCAGAUGCUUGUAAGCUCU